GCGACUGUCAGUUUCCUUCAUUGGAUUUUCCAACACAGCUCGUGACACUAGACAUUUCUCGUCUACACGUAGGUGACGGGCUUCAUAUUCCUGUAUGCAUCUCCAUAUCAAAUCUAAAAAAACUGACACUACUGUCAUUUGGGCUGGGUCUUCAACACUUAUCAAACCUUGCUCAGCUUCAAAACCUUUGGGUGCUAGAACUGAUAUCCGUUGAAUUUGAUGAUGGAAAAUGGGAACUGAGCAAUGAUAGGUUCCCUUAACUCAAAGUCUUGGAAUUAAAGAGUUGUUGGGAUCUUAAAGAAUGGACUGUCUCGGAUGAUGCAUUUCCUAGCCUUGAACGCUUGGUGUUGUAUUCAUGCGGAGAACUUAAUGAAAUCCCUUCUUCUUUCGGAGACAUCUCUUCUCUUAAGUACAUUCAGGUGGUGUCUUGCAACGAAUCUGUUGUACAGUCAGCCAGGGACACCAGAGAAAAGCAAGUUCAAAAUCAUCAAAAUGCUGAUUUCCAGCUCGAAAUCGUGGAAAAUAAAUACAGAUAAUUUUUGAAGCAAAGUGGAGGAGCUGGUUACUGGACAGCUGGGACCUAAGGUUUAAUCUAUUUUCAACUGAAAUUUCUGUGACUACUGGUUACUGAGUGAUUUACUCAUUGCUUCCCUUUUUUCUUUCUUUUAAACAAAGUACGAAGAGUUUGUAGCUGAAGCAAUAGGGAAGAUCAUUCUGUCAUAGUUUUGUUACUUUUUUCUUCAAAUUCUGUAAAGAUGACUGUCAGUUGUUGUGUCAUUGCAAGCUACAUUUCAGAGUUUAACGACAGAACAAGUUAUUCAUUCAA